AACGCAAUAUUCGGAGUUCGUAUGAAUAAGUUAUGAAUAUUUGAAAAUUGGGAUUUUUCUAUAAAUAGGGGAAAAUUUUCUGAUUUUUCAUUAAGGACGAAGAAGAUCAAAUUUUGCUGAAUAGUCCCCCUCCGGUUCUCUCUCUCUCUCGCUCGAAACCCUCCCCAUGCCUGCAGACCCGUCGACCCGACCCGGCCCCAGCGUCGCCGUCGCUGCUUCUCCGGCCACGACCCGGACCUCACCGGACUCGCCGUACUCCGUAGAGCCUCCCUCCGGUGUCGUCUUGCUCCGCCGCUGCUCCGAAAGCUGGAUCGAAGGAGCCACAGUUCCGUCGGUGACCCGACCGGAAAACCCAUUUUCCGGCAUCCCCUCGGCCGAUCCUUCCCAUUUUCGUGAUCUCCUCCUCCCCCUGAUCAUCCCCAUGAUCUGAUCGUGCGUCCGAGAUUUAAUCCAACUUCAAAGCUUGAUCUAGGACUAUCUAGGCCGAAUCGGACUUAGCUCCAGGUAUGAAAGCUGAUCUCCCUUUCAUUUUGAAGAAGUUUGUAGUUGACGACUUUUGCAUCGGAGGUGGUUGACCUCCGUGUUGACCGCCGUGUUGACCACCCACUGACCACCGCUUGUGGCGGCGCGUCGGACCAUAUUUUGAGUUUAUAUUAUCUGGACGAUGAUCUACGCAUCCAUACGAGCGUUUUGAUAUAUUACAAGGUACUUGACGGUUUGAGUUGACGAGCGUUUGGAA